UCAGUUUCAUGUGUCAAAUAUGUCUAUCAAUAUGUAAAAAAAAAGAUUGAGAUAAUUUUAAUUUCCAUUUGAUGAAAGAUGAGGUUUUUAGAUGCGCACGCUUCUUUCGUUUGAACGAAGUAUUUGUUGUAUUUUGAUAUCUUCACAUAACGACACGACAUGAAUGUUUUGUAUCGAGAAUUAUGGCCUCCUCAAUAAUAUAUCCAUAUCCCUCGAUAAUUUGGCACCAUAUCAUAAUGGUUCGCAAGGACGGGUGGGUAAACUCAAAGACUCAGCAAGAUGGGGAAGUUAUGCUAACAGAGCUAUUCAAGCGUCCUCAAAGAAGCUUAAAGAUAGAACGCUUUACUAAUGCAUCUACCACCAGAAUCAUGUGAUGCAGUUUGAGUCGUGACAGUUAAACCUUUUUUAAUUCAUUUACAAAAUAGAUAACAUAUUACUAAUUUGAUACGUUAGUUGGUGAGAUAAAUAUAUUUCAAUUCAAGCGUAACAUCUUGGAUUAGUAAUCAGUCCUGACGAAAUUCAUACGUCGCUUCGAUGUUUAGAGAAUGUUAAUUAAAUUUAGUAAGAGCGUACAGCACCGUGGAUUCUAUUUGAUAGACUAUAAUUAGUUAUUUGAUGAGUGUUCAAAAUAUUAUGAUAGCAUUUGA